rnacentral:lncRNA from 1 species
AUUUCCGACCGCCGAUCGAGGUAAAUUUCAUACCCCCGACUCGUUUUUCCACGCUGAUUCCUCCUAUGGCCAAAUCGAAGCCAAAAUCCUGGCCAAACGGCCGGAAUACGCGGCCGAAGACCAGCGGCGCCGCCGCGCCCCCUCUCGGUUUUUGCCUCCGACGAGGCCCUUCCCGGCCUCCGUUUGAUGCAAUUUUUAUAUCAACGUGAUCACCAUUCUUUUCUCUACAGGUUGACCGGAGCCGAAUCACCAAAACACGAACCUCACCGGAGAGCCGCCGCACCCGAGAGCGCCGCCGCCGGUAAGCUCCGUUUUUCCGUGAUUUUUUUGGCCCCCCGAGGGCCCUAGGGUUGUUUUCUCACAGGGACCGAUGCGAGUGUGGCCGAAUUCGGCCGAAAACGGCCGAAAACAGCCAACCCGAGGCUACUCGCCGCCGUGCCGGAGUUGCGAUUUGGGCCGAAAGAGGCCC